GGGGGAGAGCUCGGCGGUGACGCGCAGCCCUCACGUGACCGCGAGCUGCAGAGCGACGCAGCCUUUGGUGCAGUCGUCACUCGUGUCUGGGUACCAGCUCCCCGCUGCCCUGCGCACGGCGGGCUGGCAUCGGGCCCGGGGGAAGCUGAGCAGGUCUGCGGGACUAGGCGUCGCGGCGGCGCACUCGUGGCGAGAAUCAGGAGGAGCAGGAGACAGCGAGGAUAGGCCCAGCAAAACUUGGAUGUCUAUUGAAGAAACUUAAAAAGUAAAGGGUCACCUUUGUGACCAGAGCCA
rnacentral:lncRNA from 1 species